CCGUAGCUCGCGUGAGAGUUUCGAUCCAAGACAGCAGGGCUAUCUGCCCUCCGAAGGCAGGGGUUGCUGGUUCGAUCCCAGCCGGGCGCGCCA
rnacentral:tRNA from 2 species